UACGUAGGUGGCAAGCGUUGUCCGGAUUUACUGGGCGUAAAGAGCGCGCAGGCGGUCGUUCAAGUCGCGUGUGAAAGCCCCCGGCUCAACUGGGGAGGGUCACGCGAUACUGAUCGACUCGAAGGCAGGAGAGGGUAGUGGAAUUCCCGGUGUAGAGGUGAAAUUCGUAGAUAUUCGGCGGAACACCAGUGGCGAAGGCGACUCACUGGCCCGAUACUGACGCUGAGGCGCGAAAGCGUGGGGAGCAAACAGG
rnacentral:rRNA from 1 species